rnacentral:rRNA from 1 species
ACCUAUAAGACUGGGAUAACUUCGGGAAACCGGAGCUAAUACCGGAUAAUAUUUUGAACCGCAUGGUUCAAAAGUGAAAGACGGUCUUGCUGUCACUUAUAGAUGGAUCCGCGCUGCAUUAGCUAGUUGGUAAGGUAACGGCUUACCAAGGCAACGAUGCAUAGCCGACCUGAGAGGGUGAUCGGCCACACUGGAACUGAGACACGGUCCAGACUCCUACGGGAGGCAGCAGUAGGGAAUCUUCCGCAAUGGGCGAAAGCCUGACGGAGCAACGCCGCGUGAGUGAUGAAGGUCUUCGGAUCGUAAAACUCUGUUAUUAGGGAAGAACAUAUGUGUAAGUAACUGUGCACAUCUUGACGGUACCUAAUCAGAAAGCCACGGCUAACUACGUGCCAGCAGCCGCGGUAAUACGUAGGUGGCAAGCGUUAUCCGGAAUUAUUGGGCGUAAAGCGCGCGUAGGCGGUUUUUUAAGUCUGAUGUGAAAGCCCACGGCUCAACCGUGGAGGGUCAUUGGAAACUGGAAAACUUGAGUGCAGAAGAGGAAAGUGGAAUUCCAUGUGUAGCGGUGAAAUGCGCAGAGAUAUGGAGGAACACCAGUGGCGAAGGCGACUUUCUGGUCUGUAACUGACGCUGAUGUGCGAAAGCGUGGGGAUCAAACAGGAUUAGAUACCCUGGUAGUCCACGCCGUAAACGAUGAGUGCUAAGUGUUAGGGGGUUUCCGCCCCUUAGUGCUGCAGCUAACGCAUUAAGCACUCCGCCUGGGGAGUACGACCGCAAGGUUGAAACUCAAAGGAAUUGACGGGGACCCGCACAAGCGGUGGAGCAUGUGGUUUAAUUCGAAGCAACGCGAAGAACCUUACCAAAUCUUGACAUCCUUUGACAACUCUAGAGAUAGAGCCUUCCCCUUCGGGGGACAAAGUGACAGGUGGUGCAUGGUUGUCGUCAGCUCGUGUCGUGAGAUGUUGGGUUAAGUCCCGCAACGAGCGCAACCCUUAAGCUUAGUUGCCAUCAUUAAGUUGGGCACUCUAAGUUGACUGCCGGUGACAAACCGGAGGAAGGUGGGGAUGACGUCAAAUCAUCAUGCCCCUUAUGAUUUGGGCUACACACGUGCUACAAUGGACAAUACAAAGGGCAGCGAAACCGCGAGGUCAAGCAAAUCCCAUAAAGUUGUUCUCAGUUCGGAUUGUAGUCUGCAACUCGACUACAUGAAGCUGGAAUCGCUAGUAAUCGUAGAUCAGCAUGCUACGGUGAAUACGUUCCCGGGUCUUGUACACACCGCCCGUCACACCACGAGAGUUUGUAACACCCGAAGCCGGUGGAGUAACCUUUUAGGAGCUAGCCGUCGAAGGUGGGACAAAUGAUUGGGGUGAAGUCGUAACAAGGUAGCCGUAUCGGAAGGUGCGGCUGGAUCACCUCCUUUCUAAGGA